rnacentral:rRNA from 1 species
GAUGAACGCUGGCGGCGUGCCUAAUACAUGCAAGUCGAGCGAACAGACGAGGAGCUUGCUCCUCUGACGUUAGCGGCGGACGGGUGAGUAACACGUGGAUAACCUACCUAUAAGACUGGGAUAACUUCGGGAAACCGGAGCUAAUACCGGAUAAUAUAUUGAACCGCAUGGUUCAAUAGUGAAAGACGGUUUUGCUGUCACUUAUAGAUGGAUCCGCGCCGCAUUAGCUAGUUGGUAAGGUAACGGCUUACCAAGGCAACGAUGCGUAGCCGACCUGAGAGGCUGAUCGCCCACACUGGAACUGAGACACGGUCCAGACUCCUGCGGGAGGCAGCAGUAGGGAAUCUUCCGCAAUGGGCGAAAGCCUGACGGAGCAACGCCGCGUGAGUGAUGAAGGUCUUCGGAUCGUAAAACUCUGUUAUUAGGGAAGAACCAAUGUGUAAGUAACUAUGCACGUCUUGACGGUACCUAAUCAGAAAGCCACGGCUAACUACGUG